rnacentral:lncRNA from 1 species
CAGUAUAUUUCCCCAAUUCAAGGGAUGUGUAUAUAGGUAGUUAGACACGUGUAAUAUUCUAUGUGUAUGUAUUACAAUUCUGUGAAUAAAUAGAGGAGAAAAGAAGGAGCUAAAGCACUGAGAAAUUUUUUUCCAAAAAUACAGAGCGUAGUGAUAUCUUCUAAUUUGGUAUCAGAGCUUCUUAUGGCUAACACCGAUUCAGGUAAACAGUCUCCUCCAAGCGAGUCGAGCACUACAGCAGUUGUUUAGUCUCCUAUAAACCACACUUCACCUUUUGGGAUGAACAUCAUCCAGACUCUAACGGUGAAGCUAGACAGAGAAAUUUAUUUGUUAUGGCAAAACAUGGUUAUACCCAUAAUUAGAGGACAUAAACUUGAAGGAUACCUGCUGGGUACGAAACCAUGUCCACCACAGCUUUUAGAAAAUCAAAGUGUUACUGAGAAAGGAGAAGCUACAGAGAUGGUUCCAAAUCCUGAGUACAGCAAAUGGGUUUCAACUGAUCAACUAUUAAUGG